UGGUGGAGUGAUUUGUCUGGUUAAUUCCGUUAACGAACGAGACCUCGACCUGCUAAAUAGUUGGGCGUAAUUCAUUUCCUUGAAUUAUGUACUUUUUGACUUCUUAGAGGGACUGUCGGAUUCUUAAAGCCGAAGGAAGUUCGAGGCAAUAACA
rnacentral:rRNA from 1 species